GGGGGGGGGGUAUAGAGGAAGAACAUUAUAUAUGUAAUGGGGAAGUCUUUAGGACCCAGGGGACCCAAUGGAGGGUAUAAAAGAGGAAGUAGCAGCAGGUGCUCUUCAUUUCCACUGACGAGCGGCUGUGAACAAUGGUUGUGUGAGUAGGUGAAGAGCCUGAGAAGUUUUAAUUGUCUGCUACACAAACAGUUGUUGUAAACCUCUACAGCAGAGGUUCGAGUAGUGAUUUUCACAAGAUAAGCCAAGAUAAGCCAGGUGUGCAGCAAACACAGUUGUCUGCUGGAGGGCAGGCUGCACAUGUGAAUUUGUCACUGUUUUUUUCCCUCCUUCUCCUUGUUGUUGUGUUUUUGGUUUUGGUAGGGUCACCUUUUAAAACUGUUUUUUUUUAUGCCGGGUUUGUUUUUAUUUCUACUGGGCUG
ensembl:lncRNA